rnacentral:rRNA from 1 species
UAAUGAUGGCCAGGCUGUCUCCACCCGAGACUCAGUGAAAUUGAACUCGCUGUGAAGAUGCAGUGUACCCGCGGCAAGACGGAAAGACCCCGUGAACCUUUACUAUAGCUUGACACUGAACAUUGAGCCUUGAUGUGUAGGAUAGGUGGGAGGCUUUGAAGUGUGGACGCCAGUCUGCAUGGAGCCGACCUUGAAAUACCACCCUUUAAUGUUUGAUGUUCUAACGUGGACCCGUAAUCCGGGUUGCGGACAGUGUCUGGUGGGUAGUUUGACUGGGGCGGUCUCCUCCUAAAGAGUAACGGAGGAGCACGAAGGUUGGCUAAUCCUGGUCGGACAUCAGGAGGUUAGUGCAAUGGCAUAAGCCAGCUUGACUGCGAGCGUGACGGCGCGAGCAGGUGCGAAAGCAGGUCAUAGUGAUCCGGUGGUUCUGAAUGGAAGGGCCAUCGCUCAACGGAUAAAAGGUACUCCGGGGAUAACAGGCUGAUACCGCCCAAGAGUUCAUAUCGACGGCGGUGUUUGGCACCUCGAUGUCGGCUCAUCACAUCCUGGGGCUGAAGUAGGUCCCAAGGGUAUGGCUGUUCGCCAUUUAAAGUGGUACGCGAGCUGGGUUUAGAACGUCGUGAGACAGUUCGGUCCCUAUCUGCCGUGGGCGCUGGAGAACUGAGGGGGGCUGCUCCUAGUACGAGAGGACCGGAGUGGACGCAUCACUGGUGUUCGGGUUGUCAUGCCAAUGGCACUGCCCGGUAGCUAAAUGCGGAAGAGAUAAGUGCUGAAAGCAUCUAAGCACGAAACUUGCCCCGAGAUGAGUUCUCCCUGAGACUUAGAGUCUCCUGAAGGAACGUUGAAGACGACGACGUUGAUAGGCCGGGUGUGUAAGCGCAGCGAUGCGUUGAGCUAACCGGUACUAAUGAACCGUGAGGCUUAACCUUACAACGCCGAAG